rnacentral:misc_RNA from 1 species
AUUUCUCAGCAUAGAAGUGUAACCUGAUACAUAGCCCAAAUUACAAUUUACAAUUAUAGAGUAUGAUUGAUAAUUAUAUAUCAACAAAACUGCAAUGACAACACAAAGUCAAUAACACGCUGAGGGAAAUGUAAUUUUUCCAUCUCAAGUAAUAAGAUAAGAAAUAAGCUAGCCAUCAUUUGUGAUGAACAGUCUCCCUCUAUUCUCUUUAAUAGUGAAUUCGAGCAAGAGCAAGACCUUGCCAUUAUUCUUCUAUGUUUCAUUAAUGUCGAUUCAUGUGUUAGGUUCAGGUGAUACUGUUUGGGAUUCUGUUAGGUCUGCACUUGAGAAGGGUGUUGAGUAAUCUCAGCUGGCUUAACAUUUAUACAUCCAAGCAUAAUUUUUUAGGGCUAGAUGCCACAACAGUGUCCAAAAUUUCUGAAAUGAAAACCAGACUAACAGCCAUGAUCAAAGAAUGGUAACUUAGUAUGUUAAUUCCACUCUAAAUGUGAUUGGAAAUACAUAUGAAAAGAGCAGCUGACAACAAAGGUUAGUCGGAAGUCCAGAAUAACAGAAAAGUCGGACAAAAUGAAAAACCAAAGAUUACAAACAACUGCAACCCUGUGCUUUGAAAAAUUUUACACUUACAGGUUCACUCAACCGCAACUGCAUUUGAUGUAACAGGCUUGGUUCUUUACUAUUGCUUCUUGGUGAUCUCUUCAUGGGGAAAAGGUAUUACAGACUAUAUUGCCAACGCCAUAUCAGAUCCCAUUAUACUCUUUGCUGUCAUGUAUAUGUGUUAAUUUUGGAGCUCCUUAUUAUGCUUAAUCCUCUUUAUUUUCAUUGUUAUUCAACAACAAUCUUAUUAUGAUGCUCCCUAUCAUAAGCUUGGACACAAACAUUAAUAAAUUUCAUCUUGAGAUUACAAUGCAGCAAAUUUAUCCAAAAACCAUGACUCCAACCAGUAAUCAUGUCCAGAGAUUACAAUCUUCUAAAAGCACAUUUUGAUCUGAUUUCAUAUCCAAACAGAUAGCAACGGCAACAUUUGGGUGCAGUGGCAAUAAAAGAUGUAACAUUGCACAUAUAGCUCAACAUUCAUACAAUAAAGCUAUGAUCCAACAAUUAGCACACCCAAAAAGAGAAUUAAACAGGCUUACUGUCUUGUGGAGGCAACACUCG